AUGUGCCACGCGUGCACUCCGGUUCGUCCAUGCCCAUCUGACGGCUGCUCGCCGGGUCUUUGGCC
rnacentral:sRNA from 2 species